rnacentral:rRNA from 2 species
GGGAUUUAGUAAACGGAAGCUUCGGUGGAAGAUUACUAAUGAGAGUGGCGAACGGGUGAGUAACGCGUGAGCAACCUGCCUAUGACAGUGGGAUAGCCUCGGGAAACCGGGAUUAAUACCGCAUAAAAUCGUAGAAACACAUGUUUUAACGGUCAAAGAUUUAUCGGUCAUAGAUGGGCUCGCGUCUGAUUAGCUAGUUGGUGAGAUAACAGCCCACCAAGGCGACGAUCAGUAGCCGGUCUGAGAGGAUGAACGGCCACAUUGGAACUGAGACACGGUCCAAACUCCUACGGGAGGCAGCAGUGGGGAAUAUUGCACAAUGGGGGAAACCCUGAUGCAGCGACGCCGCGUGAACGAAGAAGGUAUUCGUAUCGUAAAGUUCUGUCCUAUGGGAAGAUAAUGACAGUACCAUAGAAGAAAGCUCCGGCUAAAUACGUGCCAGCAGCCGCGGUAAUACGUAUGGAGCGAGCGUUGUCCGGAAUUAUUGGGCGUAAAGGGUACGCAGGCGGUUUAAUAAGUCGAAUGUUAAAGAUCGGGGCUCAACCCCGUAAAGCAUUGGAAACUGAUAAACUUGAGUAGUGGAGAGGAAAGUGGAAUUCCUAGUGUAGUGGUGAAAUACGUAGAUAUUAGGAGGAAUACCAGUAGCGAAGGCGACUUUCUGGACACAAACUGACGCUGAGGUACGAAAGCG